UGGAUCCAGACUUUGAUCAUGGCUCAGGAUGAACGCUAGCUACAGGCUUAACACAUGCAAGUCGAGGGGCAGCAUGACGAUAGCUUGCUAUCGUUGAUGGCGACCGGCGCACGGGUGAGUAACGCGUAUCCAACCUGCCCACCACUUGGGGAUAACCUUGCGAAAGUAAGACUAAUACCCAAUGACGUCUCUAGAAGACAUCUGAAAGAGAUUAAAGAUUUAUCGGUGAUGGAUGGGGAUGCGUCUGAUUAGCUUGUUGGCGGGGUAACGGCCCACCAAGGCUACGAUCAGUAGGGGUUCUGAGAGGAAGGUCCCCCACAUUGGAACUGAGACACGGUCCAAACUCCUACGGGAGGCAGCAGCGAGGAAUAUUGGUCAAUGGACGAGAGUCUGAACCAGCCAAGUAGCGUGCAGGAUGACGGCCCUAUGGGUUGUAAACUGCUUUUAUAAGGGAAUAAAGUGAGUCUCGUGAGACUUUUUGCAUGUACCUUAUGAAUAANGACCGGCUAAUUCCGUGCCAGCAGCCGCGGUAAUACGGAAGGUCCGGGCGUUAUCCGGAUUUAUUGGGUUUAA
rnacentral:rRNA from 1 species